UAGCAACUGGACCAUGUCAUGAAACCCAGUCCUCCUCCCUCUGACGCUGCCCAAACUUGAGCUGCCAUUGUCCAGGCUAGACGGCAUCCUGGCAGCAGGAGAAUGAACAGCAGUGUCCCAUUCAUUCAACAGUGACUCAGUUCUCCAAGCCAAGUGCAGCCAUCUGAUGUCACCAACUCAUCUCCGGAAGGAGCCCUGAGGGAGAACUGGGUCCUCACCACUGCUGCAGUGGCAAACAAAGGACACAAAAAUAAUUGAGUCGCUGGUCAAGAACCAAGUUAAACCGGCCAGCC
rnacentral:lncRNA from 1 species